rnacentral:rRNA from 1 species
CGAAUGCUGACAUAAGUAACGAUAAAGCGGGUGAAAAGCCCGCUCGCCGGAAGACCAAGGGUUCCUGUCCAACGUUAAUCGGGGCAGGGUGAGUCGACCCCUAAGGCGAGGCCGAAAGGCGUAGUCGAUGGGAAACAGGUUAAUAUUCCUGUACUUGGUGUUACUGCGAAGGGGGGACGGAGAAGGCUAUGUUGGCCGGGCGACGGUUGUCCCGGUUUAAGCGUGUAGGCUGGUUUUCCAGGCAAAUCCGGAAAAUCAAGGCUGAGGCGUGAUGA